UCCCCUUCCUCUCGUCCUCCUCACCCACAGCCACAGGUUCUAGCCACCUCCGGAUCCGGCCGCCACCGGCCCGGCCAUCCACGAGGUGAUGAGCAGGACGUCCAGGUCAUUCCCCUCUCUCGUAAUCCCUUUUGUCUGUGGAUUAGUACACCGGAUAAACGGAGACUUCAAAGUGGAGGCGAAGGACGUGACCUAGAGCUGCCGCCAUGUCCUAGCCUACCGCCUCCGCUUCAACCCCACCAGCCCCUCAUUUUUAGUUUGUAAUCUGAUUCGAAUGUUGAUGAGCACAUAGCCUUGGAGCUGAGAACCAGGAGGAAUCCGAGGAGACAGAUGGAGAUGGAAUGGGGAAGAAGACAGGGUGAGGUAGGAGGAGAGGAGGCUGUGGCGGCGCCCCGUGUUUGCCUUCUUCGUCAAACAUCCACAGAUGAAGGCCACGAUUUCAUCAACUAGUAAAAGGCUCAAGGGCUCGGCAUGUUGCAGGCCAAUGUGUUUCCUUCUCUUCACUAGAUCAGGUCCAAAGGGGGAAACCAAAUGGCAGAGAUCUUGGUACCUAUGAAUUAUCAGCAAUGCUACUAUGAAUUAUAGUGGCAACCAGUCUGUACUGUAGAAUAUAUCAUGAGCUUUUUACCCUUUUUAAUUUAUUUCUAUUAUAAUAAAGUGCGGAACAAUGUCACAGCACAAAGAAGCCUAAGCUGUAGCAUGUACUCAUCAUGAACCAAGUUAAGAGUAUGUCUGCUGGUGAUAGAGGUGGAGCUGUUGAUCUUAUUGGCAGCAUCAAGAUAUCCAAGAUCCCUAUAGUUUCAUUUAUAAUGACUGUUAUAUCUAGAAACUGAAGAGUAUUGUAAAUUUCUGAUACUCAACUUCACGAAACUAAUGAAGUUGCACGCUAUAGAUGUUAGUUUAGUCCUUGUCCUAUGGCAAUUAGCAUAUCAUUCUUGCUGUGAGGAGAGAACAAGCUGAAAGUUUCAGUUAAAAGUUAAUUCCAUUGUCGAUAGAAAUGCUAGAAGGAAAUAAAUGGGAGCUUUAGACUUUGUGCAUUGUUCAUUGUAUAUGUUUCAUAUACCACUCCUUCAGCUAUUUGCCCUGAUAAACGAUUAUUAACUAAUGUACUUCUUCAUUUCUAGGAUGACUUUUGAUUUUCUCUAGGAAUUGAAUCCCCAAGUUAGUUUAUAGGAUACAUUAGACAUCAACUUCUAUUUUUUCCAAUGCAUUAAAGGUUCACUUUCCAUUCUCCAGCUCCUCAAGUGUACGCAACAUAAUAAUCAAUAAAUUGUAUUUAUUUGCACAUGGAAGUAUGAUUUUAUUGUUAGCCUACCAAGUUUUUUUCAUAAUUGAUGGGAAAAGAUCUCUUUCAUGGCUAUGUGAUAUAUCUAUAUGUCUAUUUUGUUUCAUCGCAUAAUUAACUUACUAUG